rnacentral:rRNA from 1 species
UACAGAGGGUGCGAGCGUUAAUCGGAAUUACUGGGCGUAAAGCGUGCGCAGGCGGUUCGUUGUGUCGGUGGUGAAAGCCCCGGGCUUAACCUGGGAAUGGCCAUGGAAACUGGCGAACUGGAGUGUGGCAGAGGGGGGUGGAAUUCCGCGUGUAGCAGUGAAAUGCGUAGAGAUGCGGAGGAACACCGAUGGCGAAGGCAGCCCCCUGGGUCGACACUGACGCUCAGGCACGAAAGCGUGGGGAGCAAACAGG